UUUUCGUUUCCUAUACGCAUUAAAUGGAAGACAACCAUGUCGUGCUUGGUACUAUGGUGGAUAGGUUCAUUUAGCUGGUCACUACCAUCGCUCACUAACUUGAAUGCUGGAGAUGGUACUGCGGAACUGGCGCUGGACAGCCUCCGGGAGUUUCUUAACGUCGGGGAUGUUAAUGGAAUUGAAAGAUAUGCUCGACCAAUUCUCAAAGCAUGCCGACAGCUACUCGAAGAUGCAAGAACCUCGUGGAGUUUAUUGCACCGCCUCUUGGCAUUAUAACUCAGUUCUCACUAAAGUUUUCUCGAUGCUCCCAAACCCAUUUUGUGGACAUCGUGGAUCUGCUUCUUGGUUGGGCAUUGAUACCGGACUUCGGAGAAUCAGAUAGAUGUGUUAUUGUGGAUUGGUUCGUGCAAUUCCAAAAGCAUCGGGUCGGUAAUUUGCAGUUCUCGCUUGGAUUAACGUCGAAGUUCCAGGGUGACAUGGAUGCGCUGCUGCAGGAUGGGGUCUGGGUACUCCACAACAAUUUCGAAGACUGCUCGCCCUGCUUUCUCGUUUUUCUACCAUUCUGCGGUCCACUUCUUCAGGGUUGAAGCAAAUCUUCUCGGGCAAAUAAGCGAUCCACUUAACAAGAUGCUUCCACAGCUGCUAGGCAAAUUUGCUCGGACAGAGAUUUGGAUGGUCAAAAUGGAUUGGGGACAUGUCGAAGUGCUCGACUCUCUCGGUGGAAAUUCUACGCGAAAAUUUCUCCACCUUGUAUCCACUUGCAAUAGAUACUUUAUUCCAGAGCGUGAGAAUGAACAAUGGUAAUUCAGCUGUGGGAGCUGGAAAAUUAAGUUCAUUUCACAUUCGCGGAGUCUUGAAGACGAAUAUUCAGCUCCUAUCAUUGCAGAAUCUUGGCCUUCCGUCAUCAUCUGUGCACAAAUACUGCAACUUGAUGCACUGGUAUCCCAGGUCUGUUUGCAUCCAAGUCAUGUAGUGACGGCAAGUUGUGCCAUAGCUUAUGUUUUCUUGCCGCGACAUGGUGAUAAUGAUGUCGUGGAACAAGGAAGGGACUCGUUGUUGGUGGAAUUGGACAUGUUGAAAGGUAAAAAUGCUCACGCAUUGUCAGUAUUUGAGGCGCAUGGAGAUGAAACUAGAUGGCCGAGAUAUUGAUGAAACCUGAAGUGAGCACGGCGGAGCAGGUGGAUUGUCUAAUCAACCAAGCUACUAGCGUGGACAACCUUUGCAACAUGUUUGAAGGGUGGACAACGUGGAUUUGAGUUUUUGACGACAGCAACUCGGAGGGGAUUUGGGGAGCUGCAUUCUCAAAACAUCCCAUGGUGCAAUGUGCAGCACACUGCAUUUGCAUGCAAAUUCCAACUGCUGAAGUCAAGGGAGCCAAAAUGGAUUCGAGCAACACUGCAAAUAAGCAAAUGGUGUGUCAAAGUGCCGAUCAAACUUGUCUCAUUUCUCACCGGGUAAGGUAAGUGAGUUGCAGCACACUGAUUGCCAGGUCAAUUUGGCAAUGUGGUUUGGGCUUGGUCUUGGAGUACAAUAUCUGCUCAUCCUCGCUUAUGACAUAAAGCUCCAAGGUACUUGGACUCACAUCAUGAGAUGCUAUGUGAUGGGAGUGCUUUACGCCUCUCCUCUCGCCCCGGGAACUGGUGGUCUCCCGGAGUCACACGACCGGAAGUUCUCGUCUGGUUUUUCUUUGCUGAUGAUGGCAGUGUGAGGACUUGAAGAAGAGCCAUUUGAUUUUGCGGGCUCCAUCAGCUGGGUAUCGUUUUGUAGCCGGAGGAGCAUUCCUAGUUCCUGAUUGGUUUAGUCCGUUGGCUGGAGAAUGGUGGCCAGGGCUCCUCCAGUGGGAAAGCAGCCAAAGGGAGGAUUACUGUUCCCAGGAACGGGCCGUUGUAUCGCACAAGAACGGUGGUCAGAACAAUUCAUUGUAUCACGCAGGAACGGUUGCGGCCCACCAGGAGAAUUAUGGUGUAAGGCCGGUCCACACAUUCAAUUUUAGGACAAUCUCUCUAGUUCAGUGAAAAUGGGUGAUAGCUGCAUGUUGAGCACUUCGGUUCUUCCAGUUCCUCUUGCAUUCUAGAGCAAUGACGCAAUUGUGGGCCGAGUAAUCAGCAACUGGAUUGUGUUAGGAACCUUGUGGUUGGAGUAUGUCUUCACCAAACCGGAUGAAAUUGUUUCCACCCAUUGAAUCAGUGUUAUCAGGUAUUUCAAAUGGAAAGUUCGCUUAAUACAAUCGGCAGUUAUUCGCUGAGUUGUUAGAGAUUCAUCUCCUGCCCUCCUGCAAUUGUUGAUUGUGAUGCUGACACCUUCUUCUUGGAGUGUAUCCGAUGGUUGGAAUGAUUAUCCAUCUACCAGCGAAUAAUAGAUAUCUUGAUUGUAAGUAUGGAGGUGCAGAUCCCGAAGCCAAAUGAUUUUCUUGGCUUUUCAAAUUAUUUUAAUUUUGCACAGUGGAUUACAAGACUAAUUUUCCAUGGGCUAUGUGCAAUUGCAACGACGACAUUACAGUCACUACCAGAUAUGGUUCCAGCCUACAUAAGAGAACUGUCAGAUCUUUUUAUCUUAUACCGAUAAUAUAUAUGGCCUAGGGCAGCGGGCAGUGGACGACUUGUCAGGUAUUAUUGACCUCUUAAAAAGCCUUACAUGGAUUUGAUAAUCCAUCAACGUAAAUAAGACGAUACCAUUUGCUCGUACUGGUUUCCUCUCCUUUGUCCCUCUUGAAGCAACAAAAGAAGAGGGAAACAAAAAGAGUUGCAGAAAACCAACCAACGAUCACCGAGAGCACACAGGUACCAAAUCAACCAUGUUAUCUCCAAAACUACUCAGUCAACUCUUUUUUUAUAAAACCCAACUUCAGAUAAUAAGACCCGCUCACAUCUCAACAUCAUCAACCAACUCAAACAGCUUCGAUUUCCUCAGUUAUUGUCUCUCUCCACUUCUGUGUGAGCUUAGUUCAACUCAGUGAACUCAAUUCUGAUAAUUCUGAAGAAAUUGACCAUGUCUGAGGUUGUGGACAAGUGGACCAGGAAGCUACGUGAAAUGGGUCGAGCCAUAUUCUCAGCUGGCUCAGCAAACUCAGGCCAGCGAAGCCAGUCAAGCGGAGACCGGGAGCUCGGGUUGGCUGUCUCCGGUUUUCGGCCGAGUCAAGCUAGUCAGGUCACCAGCUGUCCUCUGCUCCGAGGCCUCAGUGUGUAUGCUUGUCGAGUGUUUUAGCCCUUGAACCACAGACCUUAUUUGGCUUGGCUCAGUCAUGCUUUCGCUUCAUUUUGGGUUUGGAAUUAUCUCUGUAUAUGCUUCCUUUCCCGAGUUAUGUUACAAGAAACGUGCUUCUUUUGU